UAGUGCAUUUCAUGCGGCUAAAAUUUAUCAUUUUAAAGGUUUUCAAUCGAGUAGAGUUAGGGUAUAAUGUGAGUGAGAGAACGGCGGUACGGCGGAAAUUGCGAGACGAACACUUUUGAGGUUUAGAACUGGUUUUCGAGUGUCAGUGAGGGGUACUGAGAGAGCGAGUGCAAUGUGGCCAGAGAAUGGGAAUUUAGAGGUAGAGAAUGAGCGUCGGGAUGGAGAAUGAGAGAUACGCCGUGGUAGGAAGGUCAAAACAGGUAUGGGGAGCUAUGUUCUAUGGCUGUUUAAGUAUUUUACUUGUGUUCUAUUUUUGGUUUGGGAUUGUAUGGUUGUGAUGAUAGUGAGUUGAAUUGGAUGUUUCUAUAAUUCUGAAGUAUUUGUAAAAGGGUAUGGUGUGAUUGUUGUUUGUCCAGUAUUGUUGAUCUCAAACAGAAAAUGUUAAACUCUGGAACCGUUGGUUGUCUCUAAAGUAAUGUUAAUCUGUGAAAUGUUGAGUAUUGGUCUAAAACAAUAGGUAGUCUAAAUGGAGUAACUUGUGAUUGCGUAAUUACUUGGCAGACUUUGAAAUUAUGUGAGAUUCGGGAACAUUGUAUUGUUUGGAAUAUUUUAUUUUAAAUUGAAAAUGAACUUAUAAGCAAAGAAAUGUUUAUUAUAUCAAUCAAUGCUCGGGUUGGAUAUUUUUAUAAUGUGAUUGUGCUUUCCGUGUUUGAGCAUGGUUGAUAUGCAUUUACAAACGACUGGGCAUGUGUUUAGAGUUAAAUUAAAUUAUGAAUGGCUGUAUGAACUGAAUUGAGUUAAACUGAAACCUUAUUAGGCAGUUCAGAAACUUGAUAAUGUAGUGAUCACAUCGUUCUUGUUCUGUUUUACUCGCCUGUUAAUCAAUUAAAGGAAACAGAUCUGUUUUGGGGUAGUAGGCGAAAGCUGAAUGAAGUUUUAUAAUGAGAUAUUAGGGGCUGGUGGGUUAUAAUAGGUUGAGAGUAACUGGGCAUUAGACGUUGACGUGCCAAGUUGGUUGGACAUGCUACUUGUUACAUGAUACUCAUAUAUGACUGGAUGAUUUGAUUACUUGCGUUUUCUGGAAUGAAUUUGAGUAAUAGUAAGUUUAUCAGUGAUUACUAGGUGAGACUUUGAUGGAAAAAUGGUUUUAAGCUAAGGCCAGGUUAUGCUAUACGUAUAUACUGUUGAAUGAAUGCACUGAUCUUGCCAUUUGAAACUAAUCAGUAAGACAUGAUUAAUUGGUAAAUGUGCAUGUUCUAAUCAUCCUGAAAGGAAAAUAUGGUUGAACUAAAUAGGAUAGUUUGGUAAUCUGAUUGUGAAGAAUGGAAAACUGAAUGUAUAAGGUCCGUUUACGAAUGGUUAAUUAUGUAUGGAGAAUGUCUCUCUGUGAAUGUUUGCCAAUCACGUAUUGGAUGCCAGGUUGCAACUGAACACUGUAGGGUGUAUUUGAGCAUGGGUAGAAUGUGUAAUUCUGCCUUAGGAGCAGAUUGAUAAAGGGUGGAGACGUUAAUUUGAUUGAGUACCUUGCAUCAGUUUAAAUGAUGUUUUAAAGUGGAUGAAUGCAUAACUGACAAUGUGUAAUAUGUAAAGUGGUUGUGGUGGGCGUGAAUGUUAUUUACGUGCAGAUCUCAGUGUGUUUGAUGAUGUAAUGCAGAUUUAUGACGGGUGUGUUAUGAUGAACUUGUUUUGGUAUUGCAAGAGUUUGCAACAUCACGUAUGGGGAUGAUGGUUAUGAACCUUACCUUAAAUUGUGACUGUGAUACUAUGCUCUGGGUUUUGGUAAAGUAUUGUAAACUGUUAAAUGUGAUAUGUGGCUGGUUGUAGAUAUUGCAAAGGUUGUACAUGUUUUAGGUUAUGUUCAAGUGAUCUAAAUUAGUCAUAUUGUAUUAUAAAUGAUCAUAGAAGUGUUAGAUUGAUUUGUGUAGUUUAUUGAUUGGUUUAAUAUGUUGCUGUGUUGUCUAUUCAAAUGGUCGUCUUUAGUAUGUAUUGGGAUUUUAAAAAAGAAUUGUAAUUUUAAUGUAUUGGGUUUCAAACAAUUUUGUAAUUGUGUACAUUUGGAUUUUCCUAUUGAGUUUUUUAAAUAUUAAAUAAUACUGGUUUAUUGUAUAAUUAAAAUCAAUUUAUUAUAGAAAUCAUUCUUGGGUUUUCGAAAUUGUUAAGGUUAAGUGACUUCUAAAUUUGGAGCGUUACAUUUGGUAUUAGAGUUAGGUUUUUGAAAAAAAAUUUGGACCGUGAGGAGUGAGUUCGUCUAGUUUCUAAUGAGCACUCUAAUUGUUGUAGAGUUUUAGGUUGUGAAUGAUUGAUUGAGAUGUAAUUGAUUGUUUAUGUAGUUGGUUCCAUACUUGACAUGAAUUUUGACCUUGAAAUUCCUUGAGUCUUUUGGAAUGUGAGUAUCAUGUGACUUGGGCCAUGCAUAAAGUUGAAUUUCCAUAUACAUAUUUGUCAUGAACCUGCUAAGGCUGGAUGGAUUAGUUAGUUGGAUGAGUUGAGUAUCGGGAGCUGACUUGUAUUUGGUUGUUUAGAUGCUUUGAAAUCUGCGUUCUUGUUUGUUCCUGAUUCGUAAUUAUGGUAUUGUUAGUACAUCGUAUGCAUAUUCAGUUGAUAAAGUGUGUGUCAUAUCAUUGAUUCUAAUUCUAUAAUGUUUGACGCCUUUAAGUUUUGUAAAGAUGACAAUUGAUUUGAAUUUGAGUUCUGGAAUUUGGAAGUACAUACUGUAUUCUGUUUCAAUUGUUAAACAAUGUGGAUUCUGGUUACGUGUUUUGAAAUUACUUCCUGGCUGAUAGCUUAUGUGGCCAUCUGAAUUUAAUAUCCUGCCAUGCUGGAUUUACUCUGUUUCUAUUGAUGUGUGUAGUAGAUAUGGACAAAUUCGUGAUAUAUGUAUAUGUUCUAUUUUGAGAAAAGAGAACUUUGAGUGUUAGAAUGGGAUGUAGAUGGUUAAACUUGGUGGACUGUGAUACGUAAUAUAUGGUGUACUUGAGUGGAUGGUUUGGUUCUUUUAAGCUGUAACAUAGUUUUCUUAAGAACUCAGAAAUUGUCAUGAAUGCUGUUAUGUGAUACAUUGACUGAAGAAUGCUUGACGUAUGCUUUAACUGGUUUGAAUUCAAAGCUCCUUGAAACUGUGAUAGUCUAGGUUCUAUAUUAAUAUAAGGGUCUUUUAUGCACAUGUCACAAAAAAGUCAGAAUUUGACCGUCUAGUUGGGGCGGACUAUUUGAACUAAACCAAAAUUGAAUGAAGAACUGCAUGUUACAAAAUGUUGUGGGUAGAAUGGAAUAAGGAGUUAUAUAAUGUUCUGAUAUGGGGGUAAGCUUUGCAUGAGAUGUAGGUAUGUAGAACAGGAUAUUGAAAUCUGAAUGAACUUAGUAUUUGACCCUAAAUCCUAAAAUGGUAUAAUACAAUUGUUAAUGACUCUCUCGGAAAUUGUUUUGACCUUGGUAUGGAAAUCUGAUUUUAUUUCUGAAAACAGAUUGCUUUGAAAUGUUAUAAUGUAUGCGUAAUAUGCUUGAUAAGAUUGUAUAUUGAGUGUAUGCAGUCAUUAUGGUGAAAUGCUAGUAAUUCUCUAUGUCCUGUAAUUAGCUGGGAUGAUUCUGGUGAAAUAAAGGGAUUAUUAGCUGAAUAACAGAUAUGCUAUAGUUGCCAUUUCAUGUGAGUAUAAGCUGUUUUCCAUAACCAUGAGGCAGAAAAACUGGCGGUGAUGUGUGGUUUUGAUAGAGAACUCUGCACUAGAGAACCUUGAAGUUUGACUUAAAUACUGCACCCAAAAUCCGUUUGUUUUGAACCCAAUAUCUUUCAUUAAAACGCUGCUGUUUUGCACUAGGCUUUUAGGCUCUUUUCUGCAUCAAAUAAGUGUUGUUCUGCAUUGUUGGCUGGCUGUUUAAGCAUUGUAUUAUUGUUGUUUUUACACUGUUUUAAUUACUGUUUCUGGACUAGAAAGUCUUGCUGUUUGGAUUAAAAUUUCUGCACCAAAACAUUGCUGUUUUGGUUAAAUUGCUGCAGGGAAUUCUUUGCUGUUUAGAAUAAAAAUCUGUAGAAACUAGGUGCUGUUUUAGAAUAAGUAUCUGCAGAACAUUGGUGCGGUUUUAGAAUAUAAAUCUGCAGAAAAUUGGUGCUGUUUUAGAAAGAACUCUGCUGAAAAUUUUUUGCUGUAUAAGAUGGCUUUGGAUUCAUGUCUGUUUAAUAUUAGGAAAAGAGUAUAAUAUAUUUCAAAUAGAAGUAGGCUUAACUCUGGAACAAUAAUCUGAUUUAUGUUGUUCAAAACCUUUAUGCAUACUAGUGUGUGACUUAUGGAUGUCCGAAUUAUAAUUGGCAUUAUUUCAGCAAAAAUAUGAUUGAAUGUGUUAUGGUAUACGUGUUGGAUGAUGGAAUACUGUCUUGGUUUGCCUUGACAAAUUUUCUUUGAGUAUCAAUGGGUAUACUAAAAAAUUUGCAUUACAACAUACUAAAACAACACAUUAAAACACAACGCCACUGUUAGAUGGUAGAACUGAAAGUGAUUACAAAUUGGAAAUGCAAAACCAAAGUACAAAGAUUGAAUAUUGAAAAGCUAUAUGUUCCUUCGACACAAAGGACAAGUGUGAUUGAUGUCGAGCCAUUUUUUGAUGCAGUGGUGAUGAAAGAUAUGAGAACAUGGGUGGGGUAUGCGAAUUGCUCUUGAUCCAAUUGCAAUUUCCUCAAGACAUAUACUGCAGGAAUCUUCUGUUUUUUCUUCAAUUAUAAACUUUUCAAGAUUUUUCAAAGAAUUAUAGUUGUUUUGCACGGAAUCAAAGAUCAAAACAUUAUCUUGGUUUGAUCUUAAACUUCUAUUGUUAUUGUUUUGCAUGUUGCUGCCACCCAAGCUCAUGGAAUCAAAGAUAUAAACUUCACCAUCUUCUUCACCUGAUCUUAAAUUUCCACUAUGGGCGAUAUUGCGGUGAUCCUGAAUCACAAAUUCGAUGAUAAAGCCAUCAUCUUCAAUUGACCACUGCAUUGUCAUUCCUGUUACACAAAAAAGAUAGGAGAAAUCAAAACUUGAAAGAUCGAAUGGGGUAGUUUAUUAAGAAAAGAGUACACAAAAUCAUUUGAAAAAUCUAAUAACUUGUUUGAUGUAGGAGAGUUCCUCACUUUGAGAUCACCUUAUACUAUAGAGUUAACUUUUGUUUUGAGAGUUUGAAGCUUUUCUUUCUUUUUUCUCACAAUGAAAUGAAUGACUCAUGGAAGGUAGUAUAUAUAAUAAAAUUUAAUGAAAUAUAAUAAAUUAAAAGAUACAAUCUUGACAACUAU
rnacentral:lncRNA from 1 species